rnacentral:rRNA from 19 species
UCUAUAUGAAGAUAUUUAUAGUCUGGCCUGCUCCCUGACUAUAAAGUUAAAGAGCCGCGGUAAUUUGACCGUGCAAAGGUAGCAUAAUCAUUAGUUUCUUAAUUGGGAACUUGUAUGAAAGGUCUGACAAAGAAAAAGCUGUCUUUAUUAUGAAAGUUGAAUUUAACUUUUAAGUGAAAAGGCUUAAAUAAUUUAGAGGGACGAUAAGACCCUAUAAAGCUUUAUAUAAAAAAUAAUUAAAAUUAAAUUUAUAAUAAAGAUUUAAAUUAAUUAUUAUAUUUUAUUGGGGUGAUAAUGAUAAAAAUAAUAUUAACUGUUGAACAAAUAUACAUAAAUAAAAGAGUUAAGUUAGUUAAUGAUCCUUAUUUAAAGAUUAAAAGAUUAAGUUACUUUAGGGAUAACAGCGUAAUUUUUCUUGAGAGUUCAUAUCGAAAGAAAAGAUUUCGACCUCGAUGUUGAAUUAAGAUAUCUAUGUAAAGCAGU